GUAAGGGUGGUACACGAACAAGGGCUGGGCAAGACCGGUGCCAGCCGCCGCGGUAAUACCGGCAGCCCGAGUGAUGGCCGAUCUUAUUGGGCCUAAAGCGUCCGUAGCUGGCUGUGCAAGUCCGUCGGGAAAUCCACUCGCUCAACGAGUGGGCGUCCGGUGGAAACUGCUCGGCUUGGGACCGGAAGGCUCGAAGGGUACGUCCGGGGUAGGAGUGAAAUCCUGUAAUCCUGUACGGACCACCGAUGGCGAAAGCACUUCGAGAAAACGGAUCCGACAGUGAGGGACGAAAGCCAGGGUCUCGAACCGGAUUAGAUACCCGGGUAGUCCAGCCGUAAACAAUGUCGCUAGGUGUGACACAGACUGGGACUCGCCCGCCGCGCCCCGCGCCCGUCCCGCCG
rnacentral:rRNA from 1 species